rnacentral:ncRNA from 1 species
CGACUAGCUGGCGGUGAUGGUUCCCGUAAAACCGCCAAGGGAUGAAAAGGGAAUACGGUGAGGCUUGCCGAUCAGCGCCAAAUCCGUAGCUGCCCCCGCAACUGUGAGCGGCGAGCAAUGUCGAAACACCACUGGCCCGUUUGGCCGGGAAGGACGGCAGAGCAGAGACCCGCAAGUCAGGAGACCUGCCAUCAUAUGUUCAACCAA